UGCCAACAGCCAUCGGCAUCUACAACGGCUCUCAAGAAACCUGCAGAAUAUGAGCUACAACAACAUUUAAUUUCCCUUUGGGAUUAAUAAAGUAUUUUUGAAAUGAAUUGAACUGAUUUGAAACCAUUAAAUCGUUGUAGUUGGGCUUAUUGUGGAUAUGACCACUAUAGCAAGCUAGCAUUAGGUAGCGUUAGCUUACCCUCACACAUUCUCUAGCUGGUACCACUCCAUGGCUUCCCUCCCUCUCCUGUACUGAUCCAGAGUGCUUCGUCUUGCAGCCCGCAGCAUCUCGGGCUCUUCUUUCACUCUGAGUCUGACAACAGCUAAAGACCAAGCAGUGGAGCGUCAACGUGCCCUGCAGCAGAGUCUGGAACAGCAAGACCUUCUUGGGUCUGCAGCAGUUGGUGUGCCUGGAACAUGCAUCACACAAAUACGAGGACCUAUUCCUGGUGGAUCAUUUAGACCACCACCAUUCGCCAGUGAGGACAGUGUGUCCCAGGUACCUUUUGCAGCUCUGAGCCUGGACUGGACUUUCUUCAGUCCUCUUCAGCCUCCAGACCUCCACAUAAAGUCCAGGGGCCUGCAGGAGGACCCUUACCUCCUCAGACAAGCCUCCAUCAAGGCUUCACAGGAGGAUCCCUGCACCCCAGAGCUUCUCCCACUGCGAGGGUACUUCCUGCAGUUGCUGCAGAGCGAGGUAAGGAUGUGGCUGCACGCACCCUCCAGUCCAGACUAAGGCUGCUGGGACAAGUGCAUCCAACAGGGAUCAGUCCUCAUCUCUUUGGACACGAUUCCUCCUCAUCCUCGCCAUUGACCCCACUGCCCUCCUCUGGAGGCCCUGACUCCCUCAUCAACCUCAGCUUUAACAUCAUCCCUGAUAACCAACCAAAGAAGAAUAGCAGAAGAAGCAACACAGCUGAAGAAGCAGGAGCUAGAACACCUCUGUCACCACACUCUGACAUCACUGCCCCACCUACUCCGGCUGUCUCAGACAAGUCUUCCUCCACACCCACCCACCAAUCAGAUGUCCCCCUCUCUGGCCUGGCUUUGUCCCCUGACUUAGAGAGGCAGCUACCAGCAAGCUCAACAUUCCAGCAGAGAGGCAACAUCUUGGGCAUGGAGGGCCAGAUAGACCACCUAUCUGUAAAUUGCCUGGAGGUCAAGGUCAGUAAUUUUAGUUCUACUGUUGCUCUGCUCCACUGUUUCUAUAUCAGGAUUGUAUAUCAGUAGUACCAUAAGUGGUAUUACUCAGGAGUAAUAAUAAUAAUAUACUUUUCAUCUGCCCAAGUUUGGUGACACGUGAAGGCAGAAGCCUUGGCGUGCUAAUUCCAUGCGGCUUAAUCUGGCUUUAGGGACAUGGAAUGUCCCUUUUCUGGCAGGUGAGGAGCCAGAGCUGUUGUAUGACCAGUAGCCGGUAAAAAUAUUUGGACUGACCCCUACACACAGCUUGGGGUGUGGAACACAACUGCUGGAUAGGGGCUGGACUCUCUUCUACUCCAGAGUUGCCCAGGGAGAGAGGCGCGGGUAGGGGGUGGAGAUACUCACAAGGCCUCAGCUUAGUGGUUUGAUUGAUUACGUUUUCUCCACAGUGAAUGAGAGGGUCAACUAUUUGCGGCGCCGGGUUCCAAGGUGGAUGUUUCUGACUGUUGUCUGUGCUUAUACACCAAACAGCAGUUCAGGUGACCUGGCCUUCUUGGAGUCUCUGGAUGGUGUCCUGGAAGGGGUGCCAUCUAGUGAUUCAGUGGUGCUCCAGGGGGAUUUCAGUGCCAAUAUAGAGAGCGACGGCGUCAUCUUGGAGGUGUGUGAUCAGGAAGAAUGGCCUCCCCGAUCUGAACCCUAGUUUUGUUGUUUUACUUUUGUGCAAGGCAUGGAAUGUCCAUAACAAACACCAUGUUUGAGCACAAAGUAUACCUGGUACCAGACCAGCCUGGGCCAAAGGCUGAUCGAUUUUAAUCCUGGACACUUGGGUGAAGACACAGGUGGAGCUGUCAACCAGUGACCACCUGGUAGUGUGUUGGAUCCGGUGGCAGGAGACACUGUUGGACAGACCCAGCAAACCCAAACAAGUGGUGAGAGUGAGUUGAGAACAUCUGGCAGAGGAACCUGUCUGAGUGAACUUCAAUUCACUCCUCUGGGAGAAUUUCUCUCCUGUCAUGAGGGAGGUUCAGGGACCCUCAAUGUGGAUUUGGCUUUCCGGAACUGUGCAGUGGCAAACAGAGGACCCACUGGUGGACACCAGUGGUGAUGGAAGCUGCCAGGCUGAAGAACGCCUUAAGGGCUUGGUUUUCCUUGGGGACCCCUGAAACAACUGACAGGUACCGGGUGGCCAGAGGGACCACCCGGUACACAAAGAGUGUUGGGGCGGGUUGCUGCGGGAGUAUGGGUUGCCUGGAUGGCCUUUUAAGAGCUAUCCAAUCCCUGUAUUCCCAAAGCAAGAGUCGUAUCAGGAAGUUGGGACUGUUCACAGUGUACGUUGGACUCCACCAGGCGUGCCCUUUGUCACUGAUACUGUUUGUGGUGUACAGGAUCUCAACCCUAACCCAUGAUUUGGUUCUGUUGGCUUCUUCAGGCAAUGACCUGCAGUGUGCACUGGAACGGCUUUUUGUUGACUUUGAAAUGGAUGAGAGUCAGGCCCUUUUAAGUCUGAGGCCAUGGUUCUCGACUGGAAAAAGGCGGAUUGCCCCCUCUUAUUUGGGGGUCAGUCUCUGCCUCAAGCAGAGAAGUUGGGUAUCUUGGUCUCUUGUUCAUGAGUGAUAGUACGAUGAAGCGGGACCUCUGACAGAUUAAUUGUUCCUGUUUACUCUCUGCUUUCUGUGUCAGCAAUGUGCUAAGGUGUGUCGGUGAUGUGUUAACAAUGUGCCAAUACCAAGUAGUACCACAGUGAUCUAUCAGUCUUACAACAGCCUGUUUAAUGUUCCCUUCUGCCGGAGGAGCAAAUGGAGGCACAGGCCUGUCGGAGAAAUCCUGUGAAGAUGGAGGAGGGUGGGUGUGAUAACUUCUCCCCCCCUGUCUCUCAGGGGGGAGAUGGAGGGAAAGGGCUGCUCAGACACCUGUUGAGGGACAAGACUUCACCUGUAACGAUGCCAUCCCCUACCAGACAUACCCAACCUACUGCACACCGCCAGCUGUUCAAUGACAGUGUGUGGUCCAUAGAGAAGGAUGGAUCUGGUUUCCAUUUCAACACAGUGGCGCUGACAGAUGGUCCUGGUCCAAAGAAAAUUCAGUGCAGUAAGAGACCAAAUCGUCCUGACAAAGACAGAGCUCCACCUAAGUCCAAGAGGAGGAAGAGGGAGGAGAAGAGCAUGCACUGCUUCCCUGACCCACUGAUGUCCCAGCUGAGACAGCUCAUAAAGCUCACAUUUUGAUUAAACAUGUCUACAUUCACAUGCACUCUGGUCCUCGAUCUGUCCUCCCCUUAGCUGUCGCUGCCACUCAUGGAGCCCAUCCUGCGGGUGAAUCUAAGCCUUUUACCACCGUACGGCAACUCUGUUGGAUGGGUGCGAAAACUUGUUAUCACUCAUUUAAAAACUUUGUGCUAAGUGCAGCUGCACUCUGCUCUGUAUCAUGCUCUGGUAUGCAGUCCUCCCUGUGUGUGGGAUUUCACACACCCUGU